UUGAUUUAGGAUUUAGGAUUUGGUAUAGGAUUUAGGAUUUGGUUUAGGGUUUGGUUAGGAUUUGAUUAGGAUUUGAUUUAAGAUUAGGAUUUAAGAUUUGAUUAGUAUUUGGUGUAGGAUUUAGAAUUUACUUUAAGAUUUAUUUAAGAUUAAAGAUUUAGUUAAUUUUUGGCAUAAAGUUUGAAUGAAGUCCAAUAGGAUUAUAAUUAGGAUUAAAUUAAGAUUGAAUUGAGAUAUAUUUGAG
rnacentral:lncRNA from 1 species